UCAGUACAAAACUAUAACACAUGGUGACCUUGGGCAAGUUAUUUAAUUUGGGGUGCCUCCACUGCACGUUGGAAAUCCUAAUCCUUAACACAUCUUUCAGAGUGCAUAUCUUUCAAUUCUGUUUUAAAGUUUCUAAAAAGCAUCCUAAUCAAAUUCUGUUACUUCUCUACAAAACAAUAGUAAGCAAAGUAUGAAACCUUACCUGAAACGCUGAAGCCAAGCAGUUGGAUACAAGAGGAUAAUUUUAUCAAUGAUGUUAUGAACAGAACUCCUUUUAAUAUCAGAUUCUUUUUAUGAACUUGUCAUAUGAAUGGGCCCAGGGUCCAAAUAAGUAGAAUAACAUUAAAAGAGAAAACUUUUCCCCUAAAAUAAGAUUGUAGGAAAAGGAAGCCAGUGUCCCAGGGUUUAAUCCUUCGGGCUUUUUCCAGCAGGAGGCCAGAGCAGCAACCACUUGGCAGGGCCCCAGGGCAGCCCCAGGGCAAUGGGCUGCAGCUGCCUGGGAAGCAGAUGAGUGGGAUGGGUUCUGCUCAAUUCCAGGUUAACCUGCUGCUUCCAGGUGCAUCCAGGUUACAUAGAAGCUGGCUGAAAAAGUGAGUUACCAAUCUUUUUUCAUUCGUUAAUUUAUUAUUAAAGUGCUGAAACCUGGGAAUUAACUCAGAUCUCUUUUACUUUAGCUUUUGCUAAUCAAAAUUAAUUUUUGGCCUUACUUAAAGAGAUCGUGUCUUCCCAGGGAUGUUUAUUCCAAUAUGAUUAAAGUACAUUUUUUUUUAAAUUAAAAAAAAAUUCCCCAGGAUCACAAAGAGAGAAAAAAAAUAACUUUUAAAAUUGCUCUUUUUAGAUGGUUCGGGUUGGGGGUGUAGCUCAAUGUUCUGUGAACUAUGGAAUGAUUUAAAUCUCAAUUCCCAGAAUGAUGAACUACCCUCCUCUUCUCUUUGGCAGCUUUAGCUAGAGGAUGAAAUACUGUGUUUGAUCAUUACACAUGAUCAUUAUUUAUGAAGAAAACCCACAAUAUUUUUUUCCUUCUUCUGUCUUCUCAUUCCAGGACUGAUCUCUGAGACCAAGGUGGGAGUUUUAUAAUUCCUCUCAACAGAAAUUGCUCCAGGGGAUAUUUGGAAGAAUCAUUGGGGAAAUUGACUCUUUCUCAGAAAGCUGAAGUAAAAUAAAAAUAUAAAGCUGAACUAUUGAGAUCAAGGCAGAAGAUACUUGGAACCAAUUUUAAAGGGUGAUUCUGAUUUAGAUAGGAGGAAUCGACAACAUCCUGGAUUAGGUGUAGAUGCACUUGAGGCAAGACUGUGCAAGUCAGGUAGUCAGACAAGUGCAAAGCAACAUCCCUCUCUCAUGUGCUUGAUCUGCAACCACAACAGGGUCCUGCAGGGGAGAUGAAUGCAUUGCAGAUAUCUUUAUUCUUCACUCACUCACUCACGCAUCC
rnacentral:lncRNA from 1 species